rnacentral:rRNA from 1 species
UACGUAGGGUGCGAGCGUUGUCCGGAAUCACUGGGCGUAAAGGGUGCGUAGGCGGGUCUUAAGUCAGGGGUGAAAUCCCCGGGCUCAACCUGGGAACUGCAUUUGUGACUGCAUGGCUAGAGUACGGUAGAGGGGGAUGGAAUUCCGCGUGUAGCAGUGAAAUGCGUAGAUAUGCGGAGGAACACCGAUGGCGAAGGCAAUCCCCUGGACCUGUACUGACGCUCAUGCGACGAAAGC